rnacentral:rRNA from 1 species
UACAGAGGUCUCAAGCGUUGUUCGGAUUCAUUGGGCGUAAAGGGUGUGUAGGUGGCGCGCUAAGUCGGGUGUGAAAUUUCGGAGCUUAACUCCGAAACUGCAUUCGAUACUGGCGUGCUUGAGGACUGGAGAGGAGACUGGGAAAUUCAUGGUGUAGCAGUGAAAAUGCGUAGAGAUCAUGAGGAAGACCAGUGGCGAAGGCGGGGUCUCUGGACAGUUCCUGACACUGAGACACGAAGGCCAGGGGAGCAAAACGGGGAUUAGAAAAACCCCUAGUAGUCC